CCCUUAGAUGUUCUGGGCUGCACGCGCGCUACACUGAAGCGUUCAACGAGUAUUCACCUUGCCCGGGAGGGUUGGGUAAUCUUUUGAAAACGCUUCGUGAUGGGGAUAGAUUAUUGCAAUUAUUAAUCUUCAACGAGGAAUUCCUAGUAAGCGCGAGUCAUCAGCUCGUGCUGAUUACGUCCCUGCCCUUUGUACACACCGCCCGUCGCUCCUACCGAUUGGAUGGUCCGGUGAAGCCUCGGGAUUGUGGUUCUUGCCGCUUUAUUGUGGCGUGACCGCGAGAACUUGUCUAAACCUUAUCAUCUAGAGGAAGGUGAAGUCGUANCA
rnacentral:rRNA from 1 species